GGAUGGUAUUUGUUUGAGAAACUAUUUAAGAAGUAAAUGGUGAUGACGUUUAAAAAAGGUAAUGCUCCUGAGACUAUUGUGUAUUUGUGUGUGUAUCUAAUUCGGAUAUCAAAGAAUUUUACAUUUACAAUCUACUCGGUGUUACAUGAAUUUGAUCACACAUUUGUGUUUAUUUACAUUUAUAUCUUAUGUUCAAUUCAAGCAAAAUGUGUGUAGGAAAAAAAUCAACAAAUUAAGAAAAUAUAAAAUUUGUAAUUUAAUUUGCAGAUUUAAUAUUUAUUGGAGAUUUUUGAAGUGAAUCAAUGCAACCAUUUUAAAGUACAAAUGUAAAAUGUAAAAGAAUAUUUGCAACUGAUCAAGUGAACCAUUGAAUUCUUUAAUAGCUACUGUAGCCUUUUUGAUGAUCAAUUUUUGCAACAGUUGGUAAUUAACCAUUGCAAUAGCAUUGUACUUAUGUGUUAUUUGUAAUUUCCAAACCGCUUUUUAAUUAUUGCUGAACCACAACGUCAUUGUAAUAAGCCUUUUUCGUCCACGUCGCCUAUUGAUUCCUAGAUCGGUUAGUGAAAGGUGAACUAACCGAAUAUUAUAUUGAACUUAAAUUUAUUUCAGGUUAACUCAGUAAGAUUUAUGUUGAAUCAAACUACCUGAACCGAAUAAUCCUAACUAACCGAACGCACAUGCCUAUUUGAACUUAUGAUUAUUUAGACAUCUACUAGAUAAUCUAAGAGUUUUAUCCAUUAGGUCAACUCCGCGUCUAAAUAUGACUGACCUUUAAUUUCUUAUAUGUGCAGCUGUAGAGGGCGAGCACUUCACAGCUAAAGGCAUCGGGAUGGAGAACAUGGCUGGACCAGAAGGAGGACAAGCGGUGGCAUUGAGAACACAUCUCUAGACAAUAAUGUGUUUAGGAACCAGAAAAUACACGCAAAAAAAAUCGGUUCUUAUUCGGUUUUUUUUCCUGGUUAGUUCGGAUAAUUAACAUUAAAUAUCGGAUAUUUUGGAAAAAAUAUCAAAUAUAAUGAUUCAGAUAAAAAUUUAGGAUAUUUAAGAAUACUUUGAAUAUUUUGGAUAAAAAUAUCUUGAUCCUUUCGGAUAGUUUGAAUAAUUUAUAAUGAACUAACUUUAAAAAUUAUUUUUAGAUAUUUUAAUAGUUUUUUAAAUUACAAAUAUAUAUAUAUAGCUAUGUUAUUUUAAAUUGAAUAUUUCAUUCUCGAUACGGUUUUGGUUCGGUUCGGUACUGAUUGUGUAUAUAAGAACUGUUUGUAUAUUUGAGAACCGUUUGUGUAAUUGGAUAUAUAAAUAUAAGAACCGUUUGUGAAUUUGAGGGUUUUGGUUCUGGGUAUUUUGGUUUCAGUUAUUUUGGUUUGGUUCCGGUUCGGUUUUCGGUUCUGUUUUUUAUACGCGGGCCUAAGGAACACCGGUUUGAUUCCGGUUCGGUUCUUCGGUUCUGUUUUUUUAUUGAUAACCAAUCAGAGUCUAGAAGAGAAGGAAGAAUAGUGUCCGAGAAGUUUAGACUACUAGAGUUAGAGUUAGUGAGUCUUCCUCUUAGAUCUAACCAAAUUGUAGAUCUGACUAAAUUGUAAUAGAUGUAGUGCAAUGAAAGAGGUGACUUCUCUUUUCAUCAUGCUUCUCGUACAACACAAAAUUUUGCCCACUCUUGCAUUUUUACACCGCUUCAUAACGAUAACAAUUAUUCACAGAAAAUCAUCUUGAAUGUUGGGGUCAAAAACGGUUGCGACGAAGUUAACGUCCAAAUCCCCGCAAAAUACAAGUAUGUCUUUUCGCAACAAAUCAUGCUCGGUCAAGAGAACGUUACAACGUAUGUUCCCGAGAUAAAGCUUCGUUCGAAUUCUAUUUAGAUCAAGCAUAAGCCAUCGGAAACAUGCCCAGACCGGUUAUGGAUACGACGAAGUUAACGAUCAAAACGUCCGAAGAAGAAAACGAAAAACCUUCUUCAACAAAUACUUUUUCGAAAUAGAUUCUUCCUUACGAAAAGCUUUGUGGAGGAAACACGAGACAUCGGACAAGAGCUCGAAAAGGGUCGCUACGCAGCGACCGAACGCGUGUUCCGCUCGGUCGCUACGUAGCGACCGAGCGNNNNNNNNNNNNNNNNNNNNNNNNNNNNNNNNNNNNNNNNNNNNNNNNNNNNNNNNNNNNNNNNNNNNNNNNNNNNNNNNNNNNNNNNNNNNNNNNNNNNNNNNNNNNNNNNNNNNNNNNNNNNNNNNNNNNNNNNNNNNNNNNNNNNNNNNNNNNNNNNNNNNNNNNNNNNNNNNNNNNNNNGGUAUCCAUGCAUUCUCGUCUAUCCUUCGAUGCUAUUUCCCGAGUACCGUAGCGAAGCCAUUUCACGUUCCCCGCCAUUCUAAGUUAUCUAUCAAACUUUACCGUUAAAACUGCGGAAAGUUUGUUCUUUAUCGAAAGAAGCCGUAAUAAACGCUUCGAGUCAGAAGACGGCCCAAAGGGACCUAAGACAUGACUCGAGGCUCAACUUACGAUUUCUUAACCAACAGCCCAUAAGCCGCAUGAUGGUUUAUGCUUGGUUCGCAAGGAAAGAUAAAAGUCAAGUUUCCGCGGAUAAAUACGAAAUUUUGAAGAUAAUUACGAAGAGCGGAAAAAAUGGAAUAUCUCCAUUUUUUAUGCUAUGGCGGCUUAAGGGCAGAAGAGGAAAAGCGUAAACCGACCUAGGAGCCAGUAUAUAAGGAGUCCUAGGCGAGAGGCAUGGAGGAGGACUUUUCUCAGAGCAAACUUAGCACUUAGAGCAAUUAUGCAUAUUUCCGUUUUUGGUAUUCGAGCUGCGACUCAACUAGGUUAUUGCCGUCUUAGGGUUUUAGAACUAGGAAUUUUGCCGACAGCUCUCGUAGCCAAGGCUCUUACCUUGUUGUAACGCUCAAACGCGAAUUCGGAAUAAGAUCUACUUUGCUCUCUUUUCGAUUUCUUAUCAUUUAUCGUUGUUAUUCUUGUGUUCUGAUUGUUUGGUGUGUGGUAUUAGCAGAUAUUCGGGACCUCUGGGAAAUUAGGGUUUUUCCUAGUUUCCUUAUUUAAACGGAAAUCGACAGUGCGAAUUUCGGUUCCCACAGUUUGGCGCUAGAAGGAGGGGGGGGGUACGGAACAAUCUAACUCUCAACUACAUCACGCUCAACCAGACAUGUAAACUGACGAAGCGGAUAACGUGCAUACUCCUUUUAACGGAAGCAGUGGCACUGAUCUCCACACUCCCGCAGCGGACGUAUCCGUGGCCAACGCACCAGCCAACGCCGCGGCGCUCGAGGAGUUUAAAAGAUGUUCGCCACCUACGAAAAAAGGUCGGAAGAACAUGAUAAGCUUGUGAGCACCCUGAUCAAACAAGUUGAAACUUUAACGGCAAGAACUUGAGCAAUCCGCCCCCGCGGAACCAUUAAAAUCCGCGGGAAAAGACUCGACUUCGUAACCCCACUCGACAGGCCUGGAGCCGCGCAGGAACGACCUUCGGGUCAAAACCCUAGCGAGAAAUCUCCCAUCGAAAAUGGAAACCCUGAAAGUCCUCCGCCUCCCGCGAAGGAUUCGAAGGAUAACGAAGUCGAGCAAGUCGACCUGGAUCCUAGCAAUGUCUCCAACGAUACUGAUGAGGACAUCGACAGACAUCCAAGGAGGACCAGAAGCCGAUUCACUCGGGAAAGCGGCGAUGUCUCCAACGAUACUGAUGAGGACAUCGACAGACAUCCAAGGAGGACCAGAAACUGAAUCGCCCGGGAAAGCUCUCCGUUCGACAAACCAAUGACAGAAGAGGAGGAAAUCCUCUAUUUGAACGAACAAGAAGAGCUGGCUGAAAAGCAAAUCGAGCUCACUCGCAGUAAACGCCGACAAGCACGGAAAUCUGCUGGCGAGACGUCGGAUAUCCGCGAUCUUCGCGACUAUAUCACCAAGACAGCGGCAGAAGUAAGAGCCGUGAAAUCCCAAAUCCAUCACGCUACCAGCGCGGCCCCCGAGAUCGACAGGCUGCUGGAAGGAGCUCGGAAGACCCCCUUCACCACUCGCAUCUCAGAUAUGAGGGUAUCCAAUCCAGGAAAAAUCAAAGUACCGAAGUAUGAUGGUACGACCGAUCCGAGAGCGCACCUUCAGGCUUUCCACAUCAAGAUGGGAAGAGCAAGGCUGAAGGACGGCGAAAAAGAUGCCGGCUACUGUCGCCUGUUCAUCAAGAAUCUAGAAGGAGCAGCCCUCGAAUGGUUCGCACGCCUUAAGCGAAACUCUAUCGGAAGUUUCCGACAGCUCGCAUCGGAAUUUCUCAGGCAAUACUCAAUGUUCAUAGAUAGAGAAACUUCCGAUGUCGAUCUCUGGAGUCUGUCCCAGAGGGAACACGAACCCCUCCGCGAGUUCAUCAGCCGAUUCAAGUUGGUAAUGUCCAGGGUCAGCGGGAUAAGCGACAAGGUGGCCAUUGAUGCGCUCAGAAAGGCGCUCUGGUAUAAGUCAAAAUUCAGAAAAUGAAUAUCCCUCGACAAACCGCGGACGAUCCAGGACGCCCUCCACAAGGCGACGGACUACAUCAUGAUCGAGGAAGAAACGAAAGUCUUAUCGCAAAAACAUAAGUCGGCGAGAUGUAGAUCCAAAAACGAAGAAGAAGAACCCUCGUAACGACAAGUAUGUCCAUUACGAGGGGGAAGAUCUCCAAGGAGCGCACAAUUACGAGAUCAGCUCGGACCAGGGCCGAACCACAGGUAAAACGUGGACUCGCAAUCAAGGAUAUGAUGAAAACACCUUCUGCGAGUUCCACCAGUCCCGAGAACACUCCACGACUAACUGCAAAGUCUUGGGAGCAAGGCUGGCCGCGAAGCUACUAGCUGGAGAGCUCUCGGAAGUGACCAGCAUGAAAGAUCUCAUCCUAGAAACCGAUCGCCCCUCGAAGCCGGACAGAAAUCCUCCCGCGGAUAGAUCUCCUCAAAGAAACCAAUCUGGGGAUAAACGCGGCAGGAGGCCAGACGACAAGGGGAACGAUAACAAUCGUCGCAGAGUCAACAUGAUCAUUGGAGGAUCGCAAUUCUGCAACGAUACAGUUUCGGCCAUCAAGGCUUACCAGCGGAAGGCGGAGUCGAGCGCAAACUGGCCUAGAUGGUCUCCUACCCGAGAUGAUCAGAAUUGCUCAAUCACCUUCACGAAGGAGGAAGCCGGCGGGAUCGAUCAACCUCACUACGAUCCGCUCGUCAUAGACCUCGUCAUACGAGAUCUGGAAGUCGGAAGAGUACUCAUUGACACGGGAAGCACGGUCAAUGUAAUCUUCCGCGACACUCUCAAUCGGAUGAGCAUCGAACUCGGAGAAGUAACCCCAACGCCGAAACCGCUCACAGGAUUUUUAGGCGAAGUAUCGAUGACCCUCAGGUCGAUUCAGCUACCAGUCAUGGCCAAGGAGAUCACAAAAAUCGUCGAAUUCGCGGUAGUCGAUCAUCCUGCCAUCUACAACGUGAUCAUGGGAACCCCAUGGCUCAACGCCAUGCAAGCCGUUCCAUCGACGUACCUCCUGGGUGUCAAAUUCCCGACCCCAAACGGAGUCGCAGCUAUCUGGGGAUGUCAGAAACAGUCGCGAUUGUGCUUCCUCGCGGAGCACAAAUUAAGGCAGAUGACUACCUCUGUAACGGCAAAUCGCUAACGCACGAAGAUAGAUAAAUCUUCGACCAAAAACGUUUCAAGAAAAGACGAUUUAACAUCGUCUGCUGACGCAAACGCUUCGGGUGUCGAAACUCUGCACGAGUCCGAAGCCGACACUACGACUCAACCCGAACAUCCGGAAGAGAACGCUGACCCGGCCACGGUCAUCACGAUCAAGGCGGUCAGCACGGCGACAAUCGCUAAGUGAAAACGCUCGCGGCAUAAAAUAGAACUACGAGAUGGCUUGAUCCUCGAAAGAGGUACGUAGGCAGCUCGUCGAAAGACGAGUUCAGCUAUCCCCCUCUCUAAAAAGGGGGGGGGGAGUGGGUGCGUAUACUCGUAUACUCCUACAUAGGAAAAGAUGCAUUAUUGUAAUCGAGUGUUUUAGAGAUUUCAAAAAUUGUUACUACAAUAUGCGUCGCUCCUUUUUAAGACACUUGCGCUUCAAUUAACGCAAAAGUCUCAGAACACGCUUACAAAAUCUAGAAACAUUAAUACUCUUGUCAGCAGCCUCGUACGGCCCAAAAUCGCAAAACAAUCUCUCUUCAGCACUGAAAAUAUACGUAUAGUCUUCGAAAUAAGUGCGAGACGUCGCCAAGUUAAAAGUCGAGACGAUACGAACAAAUUGUCCGAACGCGACCACAAAAACCUUACACUCCGUUCGUCGAUUGGCCCCGACGAACACAUUAGCCGUCUUAAACAAACGCAACUUGAUCACUCUUUUGAUCUCCGAACGUCCAACACAACGAUGAAAGCGCGCUACAAAAAAAAAUCCGAAAUUUUGGUCUAGCACUUCCAGUUGGCUUAAAAAUUGUCUCUGGAAAGAUGCUCGAUUCAUGCCAUACAAGUCAUAUAAGCCGAGAACCUAUCGCGGACUUUAAAUUGGUACGAAUCAGGUAGAAAUCGCAAAAAGAAAAUCGAAAGCCGGCUAGUCACCGCACAAACCUUAAAACCGAGAGUAAACCUAGGUCUUGCCCUAAACCCAUCGCAUUGGUCUCAGACAUCUCAAGACAUGAUAUCUAAACGAUACGAGAUCCUAAAACAUGUCUCUCCGUUCAUAUCUUGACGUUUCCGAAAGUCCGUAAGAAUAAAUAAUUUUUACGAAAAAACUCACGAACAAACUAACAGAUUGAACGCCUCAACGAAGUUAAAUAUGAGAAGACAACUCAUGUUUACUUCAAACCCACUCGAAACAAAGUAACUCAAACAAACAUCCAUUAUAUAGAUCGCAUAGCGGUAGGGGUUCAAAGCCACCAACGGCCAGUCCCGAUAAAAAUAAAAACGGCCAAAAAAGGCCCAUACAAAGUUCGAAGGCCACACUCGGUCGGACAUAUAUGAACAAAGGCCACACUUGGCCGCAAAAUACUAGAUAAGGGAAAAAAAUUUUCCCGUCAAACACUCACAGAUCAAAGUUAAAAUUCUCGGACAACGAAGCUCCGAAUGCAUCCGCAGGAUAGUUCACUUCCUCAUCGUCACCGGCAAAAUCAGUCGUGGUUUCUACGGUAUCAGGAGAAACCGGGAUGGGAUCCCAGAAUCUUCCCAUCGAUCGUAGAAAUGAGCGUCUCAGCGUGAGCAUGAUCCUUCAUGCCACCCUUCAUUAACUCCAUCUCCCUCUCAAAAACGUAGUCAUCCGCCCGCGUCUUCCAAAGGCUCCCGACUGAGCCGCGACACUCACGGAAGUCGCCCGGCGAGUUGAAAGCAUACUUGAGGUUCCCCUACUCAACCUGGAAUUGAGAGGCGCGAGUCUUCAUCACCUCGACAAUUUCCCUCUUGCCCUUCCGUUCCGCCCUACGAUCAGCCCUGGCAUGAUCACGAGCGAGUUGAGCAUCUCGCGCCACCAUCUCGUCUUGCAUGCGAGCAAGAUCCUUUUCCGCCUUCUCCGCUUUAAAGCGAUAGAUCAUGGCCUCUCUAUGGCUCGCCUCAAUGGCCGAUCCAAGCAAGUUCAAGCCCUGUAAAACCGAUUGACACGUUAUAAGGAAAAAAAAAAGUAAUAAUAAUAAUCGUCAAAAUUAUUAAAGCUUAUACCCCGUUGAUGAUACGAGAUCCUUCCGCGACGACUUUCGGCCUCCCCGACUCGUUCGUAGCCGGAGGAGCAUGAAGCCCGACGGAAGACCAACGAAGAAAUAAUCAAAGUCCAGAAUAGGGACCUCGCUCGUAUCGCUUCCAUCGCCGAAAGCAAGGUCCGGAUCCCAUCCUGGAAGCAUGCAAUCGUCCACCGAAAACUCCAGGUCAAAGAGGUCAAUAUCUUUCCCCUUCGAAAAAUUCAGCCCCGUCGCAAUCGUGGGAGCAGCGUCGGGACCUUGGUCAUCAGGCUCGGAAUCACUCCUUGUUUCUCCGCCCAAAGCUGGACUAGGAUGCACAAACCUCAGCGCCUUUCGAACUGUCUUCGGCGUAAAGGAAGUCCAGAAAAAAGGACUGUUCCUGAGCAGAUCCCUCACCGCAAUAAUGUCCUCAGGAAACGGAGCAAGAGGAUUGAUGAAGGGACGAUCGUUCGGCAACCUCCAGAACAAUGGGAUACAACUCUCCUCAACGGACGCGGCGUCUACACGAACGAAGAAGAAAAACUUCUUCCACGAGUUGAAGUUAGAAGUACACCCCUUAACCACCGACAUGAAGUUCCAAGGAACCAGCCUGUACGUGACCGUAUCCUUGAUGAUCUGUAACCGAAGAAGCGCUUCGAAGUGAUCGACGGUAAGGGUGAGACCAUGCUCGUAGCUCAGGAUCAGGACUCUAAUGAGGUGCUGGAUGCCAAGAGGAUUCAGUUGGCUUAUCGCCACCCCGAAACGAUCCAACACACAGACGAUAAUUUCGGGAAUCGGGAACCACAAACGACAGCGCACUACGAAUGCUUCGUAACAAGUAAAGUAACCCUCCGGGGGACUACUAGCACACUCUCCUUGACGAGGAACCCUGAACUCCACCGCAUCCGAAAUAUGGUAGAACGACCGCAUGACCUCGAGGAAUUCGCUAGUACUCCUACUUGGUGCACCUUCCUCCACCGGGCGACGGUUCAUGACCGGGAAUGAUUUCUCUUUGGGAGGCGUGAUCGAACCAUAAAAAGCCACCCACCAUGCCUCGUUCUCGGCCGGGUCUACCGAAUGAGGAACGAAUUCCAUCUUUGGCACACAGAGCUCUUCAGAAACGUUCGCGGGCAAGGACCCUUUCUUCGAACUCCUCUUCUUACUCGACAUCUCGUGUUUUUCUUUUUUUUUAUCAAGAAGGAAAUGAUAGAGAGAAAGAGAAAGAAAAAAGAAUUUUUCAAGAAACCUCUCUAUGAGAAUGAGUAAGUGUAAAGAUUGUGAAGAAAUUACCUCCCUUCUUAUAGGCAUGAGAAAUUAUUAUUUACUUGCGGAUUUUUGGACACGUACUUCGCCCAAAUACACCAAUCUCGUCCGAACUCGCCAUACCGCACGUUGGGAUCUCACUAGAAAUCCACGAUCCUAACGAGCUGGGGGGGCUAACUGUUGGGGUCGAAAACGGAUGCGACGAAUUUAACGUCCAAAUCCCCGCAAAAUACAAGUAUGUCUUUUCGCAACAAAUCAUGUUCGGUCAAGAGAACGUCACAACGUAUGUUCUCGAGAUAAAGCUUCGUUCGAAUUUUAUUUAGAUCAAGCAUAAGCCAUCGGAAACAUGCCCAUACCGGUAAUGGAUACGACGAAGUUCACGAUCAAAACGUCCGAAGAAGAAAACGAAAAACCUUCUUCGACAAAUACUUUUUCGAGAUAGAUUCUUCCUUACGAAAAGCUUUGCGGAGGAAACACAAGACAUCGGACAAGAGCUCGAAAAGGGUCGCUACGCAGCUAAAUCUAAACUUAAAACAUCAAUUCUAAACCCUAAAUCAUCAACUCUAAACCCCAAACCAUGAAACACGAAUCUAAAUCCUAAACCCCGAAACAUCAACUCUAAACCCUAAACCCUAAACCUUCAAAUCUAAACCAUAAAACGUCAACUCUAAACACUAAACGUAAACCCUAAACCCUAAAACCCUUAACCUUCAAAUCUAAACCCUAAAACAUCAACUCUAAACCCUAAAUGUAAACCCUAAACCCUAAAACCUUAAACCUUCAAAUCUAAACCCUAAAACAUCAACUCUAGGGUUUUAGGGUUUAUGAUUUAGGGUUUAGAGUUGAAGGUUUAGGGUUUAGGGUUUAGAGUUUAUGUUUCGGGGUUUAGGGUUAAUUUUUUAGGGUUUAGGGUUUAGUGUUGAUAGUUUAGGGUUUAGUGUUGAUGGUUUAGGGUUUAGAGUUGAAGUUUAGGGUUUUGAGUUUAGAGUUGAUGUUUUAGGGUUUAGAGUUGAAGGUUUAGGAUUUAGGGUUUAGAGUUGAUGUUUCGGGGUUUAGGGUUUAGAGUUGAUGUUUCAUGGUUUAGGGUUCGCAUUUCAAAAAAAAAAGGGUUUAGGAUUGAUGGUUUAGGGUUUAGGGUUCGUAUUUCAAAAAAAAAAAGGUUUUGGAUUGAUGGUUUAGGGUUUAGAGUUGAGUUUUAGGGUUUAGGGUUUGAAUUUCGAAAUUGUAUAAUUCGUAAACAAAUUAAAAAAAAAUUAUUUUUUAUUUAUUUAGAUAUUUAUUUAUUAUAUCAACUCUAAUAAUCGAUACGACAUUAGUCCAUGCAUUCUCGUCUACCCUUCGAUGCUAUCUCCCGAAGACCGUAGCGAACCCAUUUCACGUUCCCCGCCAUUCUAAGUUAUCGAUCAAACUUUACCGUAAAAACCGCGGAAAGUUCGUUCUUUAUCGAAAGAAGCCGUAAUAAACGCUUCGAGUCAGAAGACGGCCCAAAGGGACCUAAGACAUGACUCGAGGCUCAACUUACGAUUUCUUAACCAACAGCCCGUAAGCCGCAUGUCGGUUUACGCUUGGUUCGCAAGGAAAGAUAAAAGUCAAGUUUCCGUGGAUAAAUACGAAAUUUGAAGAUAAUUACGAAGAUCUUAAAAAAUGGAAUAUCUCCAUUUUUAUGCUAUGGCGGCUUUAGGGCAGAAGAGGAAAAGCGUAAACCGACCUAGGAGCCAGUAUAUAAGGAAUCCUAGGCGAGAGGCAUGGAGGAGGACUUUUCUCAGAGCAAACUUAGCACUUAGAGCAAUUAGGCAUAUUUUCGUUUUUGUUAUUCGAGCUGCGACUCAACUAGGUUGCCGUCUUAGGGUUUUAGAACUAGGAAUUUCGCUGACAGCUCUCGUAGCCCAGACUCUUACCUUGUUGUAACGCUCAAACGCGAAUUCGGAAUAAGAUCUACUUUGCUCUCUUUUCGAUUUCAUAUCAUUUAUCGUUGUUAUUCUAGUGUUCUGAUUGUUUAUCUCUUCCAAUUGUCACUUUAUUUUUUGUUAUUCUAUAAUAUAGUGUUCUUAAAAACAUAUUUUAUCUUGGAGAGCUUUAUACAACAUAUAUUUGGCACUCUAUUUUCAUUACAUAAUAUUUCAAUAUUUUAUUCACCUAUCCUUUUCUAUCUGUUCUUAAUUUAAUUUUUUUUUUUAAAGUUAGACUAUGGAGGAAGCUCACUUUUUAAUUUUCUUAGAUCAACAUUCUCUAUAGGAAAUUUCUAAAUAAAUGUUUUAGAAUAAUUGUUUGAAUAUGAAUUACUUACAUAGGGUUGAGAUUGGAAGGCAUCCAUUAAUUUAAACAGUUACAUUGGAUGACUUCAAGAGAUGUAGUAAUCAAAUGGUGGAGACGAGACUGUGUGACGAAAUGAAACAGAGCCUCCCCGGUCACCGCCAUGGUUGUGGAGCCGAUUCAAAUUCAUCAAUCAUGUAAGCUCAUUCAGAAAAAAGUUUCGAGUUUUUUUUAUAUGGGUUUUAGUUUUUUUUUAAGAAACCUUGUCCACAAUACCUUGAAGAGACAUUUCACUUGAUUAACAACUUAACGAAGAUGAAGAUAUGAUUUUAUGGCUUACUAUUAAUACAUCUUAUACACAGAUGGAGAUUGAGGAAUCUCAGUUUUGAUUGUUUCAUUUGUUGUUUUGAAGAAGAGAGUAGAAAGCAUUGGGAAGACAAUUUUGCUCCCUUGACUGUGAAGAAAAGAAGGAGAAAACGAUUACCUAUAGUUCCAUCAGAAGAUCCUGAUCAGAGGCUUGCACAAAUAGGCACACAUGCAUCUUCUUUAAUAGCUUUGGGUAUCAAAUACAGUGACGACUUAACUUAGGUACAUGUCCAUUGCAAAAGCAUGUCCACAAUUUUAGGUUUUCUGUCCAUCUAUUCUCUAUUUUCUAUGUCCAUGUCCACACAAUUUUUUUUUACAAAAUC
rnacentral:lncRNA from 1 species